UGUGGGAGCGAGCUUGCUCGCGAUAGCGGUGGGUCAGGCGACUGAUUGUCAACUGUCAGUCCGCUAUCGCGAGCAAGCUCGCUCCCACA
rnacentral:misc_RNA from 2 species